rnacentral:lncRNA from 1 species
GUCACACAACAGGUUGUAGAAAUGAAAAGAACAGAGAGCGAACACAGGUCUCAGUUGACCACAAGAGGUCACUGUUCAGCCGUUUACACCGACAUUAAUCCAUAAAAUCAACGGUGAGAUUAUUAGUCUAUAAUAGGCCUUAUAUUGAUAAUUGUACAAUAAUAAUCGUGCUACAUUUUAACCAUACAACUUAUUGAGAUGUAUUCAGUAAAUAGACCAAAGAAAAGCCUUUUGUGAAAGUUUGAACUUUAAAACUAGUCUACAUAUCACACAUGCUUCUAUGUUGAGGACACACCAUACAAGAGUAACGCGAUAGGCAAACAGCACAGAAAAGUGUUGUUAUCGACAACAUGACGCACGACGCUAAAAUAAUAACUCAUGCACAAUAAGAAACGCACAAAUGGCAUCAGCGUAACCACAGCGCACUGGUGAGUAGGAGUGUUAAGGCGAUGAUGUAGAUCCACAGUCGAGGAACACCGCUACUUCCAUGAGCGACUCUCAAGAGAAGGGAUGAUUCGGCGCGUCGUCCGACUAUGCCGUAUCCUAUCCGGGAGAAGACCCACGUGGGAGCGCUCUCACACGGGUGCGAGCACCGAGACAAAGUGCUGGAGUGCGCACUGGAGAUGAACAUGGUUAACCAUAACGCACACAGAGCGUCCAAAAUGGAUUGUGUGAACUGCGAAGGUCUGAUCAGUGGCAGCAGCGUGGAUUCAGAGACAUCUGUGCCUGUGUCAAUCACAGGCAAACGCACAAGUCCAAUGGAGGGAGACGACCUGUACAGACUGCGCGACAGAAAGUUCCUGUUAGAAGACAAAAAACGACUGUGCGCAUUGGCCCUGGCCGCUGCUCUUCUUGGGAUACUUCUUAUGAUCGUCCAUGCAGAAAUGUGCCCUGCUGUCUACCAACCAGGCUCAAAAAGUGCAUUGUUCAUCAACGGUGCCAUCAGCCUGUCCACUGGAUGCCUUCUCAUCUUGAUUAUAGCUUUCCAUUAUAAAGACAUCAAGGUGAGUUAUGUUGUCUAUAUGCAUAUGGUUUUAUUUAUUAUCUGCUAUUGCUCAACAUGAUCCUGGUUAACCUCAGGUGCACAGUGUAGUGUUCUGUCGUGCAGGGUAUGCAGAUUUUGCAUUGUGCCACAUUUACACCAGUGACAAAACACUUACAUCAACAUUGUUUACAGUGGGUUAUGUGCCGUAUGUCGGCCUCAGACAAG